GCAAGUCGAGCGGUAACAUUUCUAGCUUGCUAGAAGAUGACGAGCGGCGGACGGGUGAGUAAUGCUUGGGAAUAUGCCAUAUGGUGGGGGACAACAGUUUGAGACGACUGCUAAUACCGCAUAACGUCUACGGACCAAAGGAGGGGACUUUUCGGGGCCUUUCGCCAUUUGAUUAGCCUAAGUGGGAUUAGCUAGUUGGUGAGGUAAUGGCUCACCAAGGCGACGAUCUCUAGCUGGUUUGAGAGGAUGAUC
rnacentral:rRNA from 1 species